rnacentral:lncRNA from 1 species
AAGCACUUGCACUAAAAAGAUUGAAAGAGAGCUUGAGAGAGAUUGAGAGAUAUUGAUGAAUUGGUGAACAAAAAUGAAAGAAUGAGGGAGUAUUUAUAGUUGAGAAAUGGGAAAUAGUGUAAUUAUAUAAAGUUUGGGGUUAAAUUAAAGUUUGGGGGCCAAACGGAUAUUUUUUAAACUUCCAAACGGCUACUUUUUGCAAAUAGCCGUUACUGAAAUUAUUUUAAAAAAAA